rnacentral:rRNA from 1 species
CCUACGGGGCGCAGCAGUCGAGAAUCAUUCACAAUGGGGGAAACCCUGAUGGUGCGACGCCGCGUGGGGGAAUGAAGGUCUUCGGAUUGUAAACCCCUGUCAUGUGGGAGCAAAUUAAAAAGAUAGUACCACAAGAGGAAGAGACGGCUAACUCUGUGCCAGCAGCCGCGGUAAUACAGAGGGCUCAAGCGUUGUUCGGAAUCACUGGGCGUAAAGCGUGCGUAGGCGGUUUCGUAAGUCGUGUGUGAAAGGCGCGGGCUCAACCCGCGGACGGCACAUGAUACUGCGAGACUAGAGUGAUGGAGGGGGAACCGGAAUUCUCGGUGUAGCAGUGAAAUGCGUAGAUAUCGAGAGGAACACUCGUGGCGAAGGCGGGUUCCUGGACAUUAACUGACGCUGAGGCACGAAGGCCAGGGGAGCGAAAGGGAUUAGAUACCCUGGUAGUC